rnacentral:rRNA from 1 species
GAUGAACGCUGGCGGCGUGCCUAAUACAUGCAAGUCGAGCGAAUGGAUUAAGAGCUUGCUCUUAUGAAGUUAGCGGCGGACGGGUGAGUAACACGUGGGUAACCUGCCCAUAAGACUGGGAUAACUCCGGGAAACCGGGGCUAAUACCGGAUAACAUUUUGAACCGCAUGGUUCGAAAUUGAAAGGCGGCUUCGGCUGUCACUUAUGGAUGGACCCGCGUCGCAUUAGCUAGUUGGUGAGGUAACGGCUCGCCAAGGCAACGAUGCGUAGCCGACCUGAGAGGGUGAUCGGCCACACUGGGACUGAGACACGGCCCAGACUCCUACGGGAGGCAGCAGUAGGGAAUCUUCCGCAAUGGACGAAAGUCUGACGGAGCAACGCCGCGUGAGUGAUGAAGGCUUUCGGGUCGUAAAACUCUGUUGUUAGGGAAGAACAAGUGCUAGUUGAAUAAGCUGGCACCUUGACGGUACCUAACCAGAAAGCCACGGCUAACUACGUGCCAGCCGCCGCGGUAA